CUGUUUCUUGCCUCAACAGUGUUUGGGCAGAAAAG
rfam:Myotis lucifugus cont2.49864, whole genome shotgun sequence.